AGAGUUUGAUCCUGGCUCAGGACGAACGCUGGCGGCGUGCUUAACACAUGCAAGUCGAACGGGAUUUAGUAGACAGAAGCCUCGGUGGAAGAUUACUAAUGAGAGUGGCGAACGGGUGAGUAACGCGUGAGCAACCUGCCUAUGACAGUGGGAUAGCCUCGGGAAACCGGGAUUAAUACCGCAUAAAAUCGUAGAAACACAUGUUUCAACGGUCAAAGAUUUAUCGGUCAUAGAUGGGCUCGCGUCUGAUUAGCUAGUUGGUGAGAUAACAGCCCACCAAGGCGACGAUCAGUAGCCGGUCUGAGAGGAUGAACGGCCACAUUGGAACUGAGACACGGUCCAAACUCCUACGGGAGGCAGCAGUGGGGAAUAUUGCACAAUGGGGGAAACCCUGAUGCAGCGACGCCGCGUGAACGAAGAAGGUAUUCGUAUCGUAAAGUUCUGUCCUAUGGGAAGAUAAUGACAGUACCAUAGAAGAAAGCUCCGGCUAAAUACGUGCCAGCAGCCGCGGUAAUACGUAUGGAGCGAGCGUUGUCCGGAAUUAUUGGGCGUAAAGGGUACGCAGGCGGUUUAAUAAGUCGAAUGUUAAAGAUCGGGGCUCAACCCCGUAAAGCAUUGGAAACUGAUAAACUUGAGUAGUGGAGAGGAAAGUGGAAUUCCUAGUGUAGUGGUGAAAUACGUAGAUAUUAGGAGGAAUACCAGUAGCGAAGGCGACUUUCUGGACACAAACUGACGCUGAGGUACGAAAGCGUGGGGAGCAAACAGGAUUAGAUACCCUGGUAGUCCACGCCGUAAAC
rnacentral:rRNA from 1 species